rnacentral:rRNA from 1 species
UACGUAGGGGGCAAGCGUUGUCCGGAUUUAUUGGGCGUAAAGAGCGUGUAGGCGGCCAGGUAGGUCCGUUGUGAAAACUGGAGGCUUAACCUCCAGCUGUCGAUGGAAACCAUCUGGCUAGAGUCCGGAAGAGGAGAGUGGAAUUCCUGGUGUAGCGGUGAAAUGCGCAGAUAUCAGGAAGAACACCGGUGGCGAAGGCGGCCCACUGGUCCGGUACUGACGCUGAGGUGCGAAAGCGUGGGGAGCAAACAGG